AGUGUCCUUCGGGGUUUGGGUGAAAGUCCCGACCGGCGGUGAUGAGGCUGUUAAAUUGUCUCUUAGUCCGUGACCCGGUUUUGUUAUUAAGCAAAAACGGUGGAUUCGGUGUAAGUCCGAAGCCGACAGUAUAGUCUGGAUGGGAGAAGGAACGU
rnacentral:ncRNA from 2 species